rnacentral:lncRNA from 1 species
AGGAAAAUGAUGAAGAGUUAUUUUAUUAUAAUUUGUUAUUUCUUCUAAUAUUAUUAUUAUUUAUGCAAAUUUGACUACUACUUAAGCCGUGGUGUGGCGCUGGAAAGAGAAGUCUGCCGUAUUUUGUGAUGUUGUGUCGUCGUGACUGUGGUGGGUAGGAUUGUCUCUGACAACAGUGACUAUAGUCUGUUUGAUGUUUUUGUCCUUGGAUAGAACGGUUGUGAUGAUUAAUGGUGGUGUUUUAGUGGAACUGUACGUAGAAAAAAAUAGUCAAGUAACGGUGGACUGCGAAGCUAAUGUUUGUUUAUUCUUUAAUUUUCUUUUGUAAGUUUACCAGUUUGGUCUUUCUAAUAAAGUGUUGUUUUAGUUCCUUAUGGAGAAUUAUUUACAGAGUAUGGAACACUUUAUACAAUGGCUUAAGGAGAUGGAGAUUAACAUCUCGAUUAAGAUUAGUAUUAAAAGAAAGGACGAUACGGAGGAUAUUUUCCACAUAUGGAAUGCUC